rnacentral:tRNA from 1 species
GUUUUUGUAGUUGAAUACAGCAAUAGCUUUUCAAGCUGUAGGUCUAGGUUGAAACCCUAGCAGAAAUA